rnacentral:rRNA from 1 species
GACGAACGCUGGCGGCGUGCUUAACACAUGCAAGUCGAACGGAAAGGCCCUGCUUUUGUGGGGUGCUCGAGUGGCGAACGGGUGAGUAACACGUGAGUAACCUGCCCUUGACUUUGGGAUAACUUCAGGAAACUGGGGCUAAUACCGGAUAGGAGCUCCUGCUGCAUGGUGGGGGUUGGAAAGUUUCGGCGGUUGGGGAUGGACUCGCGGCUUAUCAGCUUGUUGGUGGGGUAGUGGCUUACCAAGGCUUUGACGGGUAGCCGGCCUGAGAGGGUGACCGGCCACAUUGGGACUGAGAUACGGACCAGACUCCUACGGGAGGCAGCGGUGGGGAGUAUUGCACAAUGGGCGGAAGCCUGAUGCAGCGACGCCGCGUGCGGGAUGACGGCCUUCGGGUUGUAAACCGCUUUCGCCUGUGACGAAGCGUGAGUGACGGUAAUGGGUAAAGAAGCACCGGCUAACUACGUG